GAUGAACGCUGGCGGCGUGCCUAAUACAUGCAAGUCGAGCGAAUGGAUUAAGAGCUUGCUCUUAUGAAGUUAGCGGCGGACGGGUGAGCAACACGUGGGUAACCUGCCCAUAAGACUGGGAUAACUCCGGGAAACCGGGGCUAAUACCGGAUAACAUUUUGAACCGCAUGGUUCGAAAUUGAAAGGCGGCUUCGGCUGUCCCUUAUGGAUGGACCCGCGUCGCAUUAGCUAGUUGGUGAGGUAACGGCUCACCAAGGCAACGAUGCGUAGCCGACCUGAGAGGGUGAUCGGCCACACUGGGACUGAGACACGGCCCAGACUCCUACGGGAGGCAGCAGUAGGGAAUCUUCCGCAAUGGACGAAAGUCUGACGGAGCAACGCCGCGUGAGUGAGGAAGGCUUUCGGGUCGUAAAACUCUGUUGUUAGGGAAGAACAAGUGCUAGUUGAAUAAGCUGGCACCUUGACGGUACCUAACCAGAAAGCCACGGCUAACUACGUGCCAGCCGCCGCAGUAA
rnacentral:rRNA from 1 species